UGGGGAAUAUUGCACAAUGGGCGCAAGCCUGAUGCAGCCAUGCCGCGUGUGUGAAGAAGGCCUUCGGGUUGUAAAGCACUUUCAGCGGGGAGGAAGGCGGUGAGGUUAAUAACCUCACCGAUUGACGUUACCCGCAGAAGAAGCACCGGCUAACUCCGUGCCAGCAGCCGCGGUAAUACGGAGGGUGCAAGCGUUAAUCGGAAUUACUGGGCGUAAAGCGCACGCAGGCGGUCUGUCAAGUCAGAUGUGAAAUCCCCGGGCUCAACCUGGGAACUGCAUCUGAUACUGGCAAGCUUGAGUCUCGUAGAGGGGGGUAGAAUUCCAGGUGUAGCGAUGAAAUGCGUAGAGAUCUGGAGGAAUACCGGUGGCGAAGGCGGCCCCCUGGACGAAGACUGACGCUCAGGUGCGAAAGCGUGGGGAGCAAACAGG
rnacentral:rRNA from 1 species